rnacentral:tRNA from 1 species
AUAUCGAAGAUGGUUAUAAGAGUGGUAUCGCUCAUUUGGCAUCUUUCACAGGAACAGAUAACAUUCUGGCUAUUGAGACUGUGCAUGAUUAUUAUGGUAUUGAUUAUGAUCAGUUUGUUGCAGGUUCUAUUCCGGCAACAGAACAUUCAGU